UUUACCUGGUUGAUCCUGCCAGUAGUCAUAUGCUUGUCUCAAAGAUUAAGCCAUGCAUGUCUAAGUACAUACUUUUGCACGGUGAAACCGCGAAUGGCUCAUUAAAUCAGUUAUGGUUCCUUAGAUCGUUCAUAUUACAUGGAUAACUGUGGUAAUUCUAGAGCUAAUACAUGCAAAAAGCUCCGACCGUAUGGGAAGAGCGCUUUUAUUAGACCAAAACCAAUGGGGUCGCAAGAUCCCUUUGUAUGGUGACUCUGGAUAACUUUGUGCUGAUCGCAUGGCCUCGAGCCGGCGACGUAUCUUUCAAGUGUCUGCCCUAUCAACUUUCGAUGGUAAGCGACUUGCCUACCAUGGUUGUAACGGGUAACGGGGAAUCAGGGUUCGAUUCCGGAGAGGGAGCAUGAGAAAUGGCUACCACAUCUACGGAAGGCAGCAGGCGCGCAAAUUACCCACUCCUAGAACGGGGAGGUAGUGACGAAAAAUAACAAUA
rnacentral:rRNA from 1 species